UCUCUUUAAAGUCAUAGUUUUCUCUUGGCAGCUUGCUUCUCUAGGAUCGUAUCCCAACCAGAGUUAACUUACUUAAGAGGUGUGUCCAUCUGGCCUCUAGGACUUUUUCCUGUCCAUUAUGUUCCUUGCACACUGAGUCUACCUCUCAGAUCUUUGUGACAUGUGAGAUGGUGCCUUCAAUUUAGUAUAAUAUCUUUAGGUGGUUGGGCCGAUAUAUUGUUUUUCCUGAGCAUAUUUUGGCUCUUUUUCAGCUUUUUAGCUCCCCAUAUGGUGUUUUAGGAUUAGAGGGAGGUUAACGAUGGUUUGUCAAGUCGUGGUUUGGUCUAUUUGAAAAUCUCAUAAUGAUAUAGUUUUUUUCUGGAUCUUUAGAGACUAAGAAAUAAGUGGAAGACAAAUGCAUUUUUUUGGCUUGGAAAUGGUAUCUUGGUAGGUCAAUGGACGACUCAUGUGUCAUCUCGCCCAAGCUGUAGAAUCCUAUCGUGUUUUUUUACAAAUAGGGAUUGUGUGAUUUCUACUUCCAUUAAUAGUGUUCUUAUUGAUUUCUUUUGUGAUUUUGUUGGUUCUUUUGCCGUUCCUUUUUGGGUUAGCACUAGCCUCAAUUUAUUAUUGGGUUUUUUUGUUUUGCUGUUGCUUCUUGUAGUUGUACUUUAUUAACCAGUGGGAAUGUAGUUUGCUUGGGGUAUUUGAU
rnacentral:lncRNA from 1 species